rnacentral:rRNA from 1 species
GAUGAACGCUGGCGGCGUGCCUAAUACAUGCAAGUCGAGCGAACAGACGAGGAGCUUGCUCCUCUGACGUUAGCGGCGGACGGGUGAGUAACACGUGGGUAACCUACCUAUAAGACUGGGAUAACUUCGGGAAACCGGAGCUAAUACCGGAUAAUAUAUUGAACCGCAUGGUUCAAUAGUGAAAGACGGUUUUGCUGUCACUUAUAGAUGGAUCCGCGCCGCAUUAGCUAGUUGGUAAGGUAACGGCUUACCAAGGCAACGAUGCGUAGCCGACCUGAGAGGGUGAUCGGCCACACUGGAACUAAGACACGGUCCAGACUCCUACGGGAGGCAGCAGUAGGGAAUCUUCCGCAAUGGGCGAAAGCCUGACGGAGCAACGCCGCGUGAGUGAUGAAGGUCUUCGGAUCGUAAAACUCUGUUAUUAGGGAAGAACAAAUGUGUAAGUAACUAUGCACGUCUUGACGGUACCUAAUCAGAAAGCCACGGCUAACUACGUG